AUUGAACGCUGGCGGCAGGCCUAACACAUGCAAGUCGAGCGAGCGGCGGACGGGUGAGUAAUGUCUGGGAAACUGCCUGAUGGAGGGGGAUAACUACUGGAAACGGUAGCUAAUACCGCAUACCAUCAGAUGUGCCCAGAUGGGCUUAGCUAGUAGGUGGGGUAACGGCUCACCUAGGCGACGAUCCCUAGCUGGUCUGAGAGGAUGACCAGUCAAACUGUAAUUGAGCCACGGCCCAGAUUCUGACGGAGUGCACCAGUGGGAAAUAUUGGCCAAGGGGGGCAAGCUGAACGCGGCCAGGCCGGGUGUUGAAAAAGGUCUUUCGGGCUGUAAAGCAUGUUCAGCAGGGAGACGUUACACACAGAAGAAGGGCCGGCUAACUCCGUGCCAGCAGCCGCGGUAAUUG
rnacentral:rRNA from 1 species